ensembl:lncRNA NR2F1-AS1 NR2F1 antisense RNA 1
ACAGGAGCCCCAGCCCCACACAGCAACCACCCGGGCGAGAAAGAAAGAAAGAGCCAGGGAGGCGGGCGAAGCGCGGGGAGAGAAGCAGAGAAGAAAUAUUCACCUUCCCGCCUCAUGCCCACUUUGAGGCACUUCUUGAGGCGGCAGUAUUGGCACUGGUUGCGGUGGUGCUGGUCGAUGGGACAGUUCCUGUUGGCACGGCAUGUGUAAGUUAAGUUCCUGCGGACGCUCCUCUUGAAGAAACUUUUGCAGCCCUCGCAGGUAGAUGAAACUCAAGAGAAAAGGUGUGGAUAAAUGAAACUAGCCCAUGAUGAACCUGUUUUCUCCGUGACCACAAUAUUAACCAGGAUGAAUGGCGGUGGCAGUGGGCCUGCAUCACAGGUUGCAGCAGAUGUUCUCAAUAUUUCUAUUAAAAUUUCCUUAUUUCCAUAUGCAAGAGGAGCCCCAGAGCUGCAUCCUUAUGGUAGCUACCAUGCCGUGAUGUAAGCUGCCAUUCACUGGGGAGCUUUGGCAAUAGAAUUGGCUAGAUCAGGAAGCCUAUGUCAACUAUGGAACAACAACUUGCAGCUCAUCUCUAUUGAUGGUGAAACAGUCGCAAAUGGAAUUCCAAGAAACAUUCUAUAUACACUGCCUCUAGGACUGGGACAGAUAGCCACUGAGUACCUGCUUCAAAUCACCCUGCACGUUUUCUCUUUGGAAAGAUAAGCACUGGAGAACCAUCUCGUUACCUUCAGCAGAAAUGGAAACAAAUCAAGACAUUAAGAAUGCCGCAGUGGACAGCAGUUAUGCAAGGUUCAGCAGAGGAAGUUUUCAAGAUGGUGUGCCUCACUAGCCAGAAAUCAGAAAAGAUCGAAGCUAGCCUUUUCAUCUCAGCUGCUCCUUAAAUCAGUGCAACCCCUCCAAAUUAAUGUGAAUUGAAACUUGCAUUGCUUUUCAACUUAAUUGAAUACUUACUAUAUGUGAACCACUGCACAAAAUAGGGGAAGAAGAUGUGGGAGACAAAGAUGUGGAGCCUGUCUUCAAUAAAUUUACAGUUAGUUUCAGGGUACAUUGUUUUUCUUCUGCUGUUAAUUAGGUGUAUCCCCAAGACAAUAAAUACAUGAAUGGAAAAGUAUAUUCUGUGUUUUAAGUCUCUUUAAUAAAAAACAAAACAAAAUCCAAAAAAACUCCUAACAUGGCAACUCAGGACAUUUUAAUCCUUUUUUUUGUUGUUGGGCUUCUGAUAGGAUCCAUUUUAUUGAUUCCAUAAAUAUUUAGUAGACUUUAGACAUAUUAAUACAUUGUAGUUUGAGUUAAUUUGCAUUAAAUUCUGUUUUUUUCCCCUUAGGUAUAGAUUGUCUGUUGGAAAAAUAUAUUGCUUGUGGAUUUCUUGGGGAGUGGGAAGGUGAAUUAUACCUGUUGUCUCUACAGUCCACUACCUUCCACACCCUAGGGCAGUGGUCCCCAACCUUCUUGGCACCAGGGAUCAGUUUCCUGGAAGACAAUUUUUCUGUGGAUGGUGUGGGGAUGGUUUUGGGAUGGAACUGUUCCACCUCAGAUCAUCAGGCAUUAGUUAGGCUCUCAUAACGAGUGCGCAGCCUAGAUCCCUCACAUGCACAGUUCACAGUAGGGUUUGCGCUGCUAUGAGAAUCUAAGGCUGCCACUGAUCUGACAGGAGGCAGAACUCAGGUGGCAAUGCUUACUGGCCCACUGCUCACCUCUUGCUGUGCGGCCUGGUUCCUAAUAGGCCAUGGACCCCCACAGACGGGUACUAGUCUGCAGCCUGUGGACCCCAGCCCUAGGGGCCUGCCAUUCUGAGUGAGUUAUUAGCAUGAAGAAGAGGAAGAUCUGGAUCAAACGUGGGUGAUGGUACUCAGAGACCCAAGAUAGGAUAGGGAUGGAACAAAAUCCAUCUGGGCAACGGCUCUAUGAAAAUUUGGCUAAGUAAUUAUUUCAGUAUUCAUUGUAUUCAUUGUCCUUCGUGUUCCAUAAGUUAAAUGACUGUCUAAUUUUUCCAAAAAUUUAUUUCUGACUUGAGAAUAAGUGUGUCAUGAUUUUCCCAGUGUAAAGACACUGAUAUAACUGUAGAUACCAGACAUUUUAUGUAGUGUCUAUGACACAUUUUAGUAUGUAUGAGCCAACAAUAGACAUGUCUUUGUCUUGAGGAGUGUCCAUCUGAAUUGAAAAUGUGUCAGCUUUUUUUUAACAUCAUCAACAGACUUCUUAAUUAAGCUGCCAAUACAUACUGCCAAUAGCACUGUGUGCUGUCUGAGAAAUGCAUUGUGUAAGUGCUAUUUCCAUCUUAUUAAAUAAACAAUGUUGCUCUGUAUAAACUGGAUUUAAAGUGUUCUUUGAAUGAGGCAUUAUAUUGCUCCAUAAAUAAUGUGAUGUGAAUUCUCAUAUGAUCCCUUUUAACUUAAUUUCUAAAAAAAUAUUAUUUGCUCCUCAGUAAGGAAUAGCUCUAAUUGGACUGGUAACUUUAGUGAUAUGAUUUGUCUGUAACAGGCUGAAUCGCCCCACUCCCAAACUCCUGGUCGUGAUACUGGAUAUUUGUUAUGCCACUUUUAGUUUGCAUGAGGUAUCUUCCAGGAAGUAUUAGUUAUUAACUUGUGUUCUACUAAACUGUAGAUAUUUAUUUCCUGUUCUGGAAGAUUUCUUGGAGUGUCCAUCUGUGCAUUCCUGGUGCCUAGUGUAGUCUUGCUAAUGGAAUAGCACCUUUAUUGGUGCUACUUAGGGGUUGGUAGCUUACAAUCAAUCUACUUGGAACGUAUCCAAA